UCCUCAUUGCUCGGAGUGUCACUAGGGAUGGUUUCUUCCAUUCGUAUGUGGCGACUGGUGCACCUUCUUGGCUGCAAGAACUUUUUGGAAAUGAGGAACUCUUGCCCUCUGCCUAGUCUGUGUCCUUAGGUUUAGUUUUAGACUGACUGUUAGGCAUUUUUUGGAAGUCGGUUUUGGUGUUUCUUCGAGGUUGUGUCCCGGGUUUGAUUUGGGAGGCCUGUUGUUGUAAGUUGAUGACUUGAUUGGGUCUUGUUGUCUUUAGAUCGGAAAUUUGUAACUCGUUCCUUUUAUGAUGUUAAUAUAACGUAUCCUUCAGAUGAAAAAAAAAAAAGAUCUUUCUUAGGGUGUCCACGUCAGAUUCCAGCCUGGAAACAGAAUGCUUCCCGUGCCGCCACGUCAGCAGCUCUGCGUUUCAUUUAAAUGAGUAUUUUGUCGAUUUGGGCUUCGUUCACCGCGUUUCAUUAACUCUUCUGUGUAAUCGUUUGGACUUUUCUAUGUUUUGGACUUCGUCUAAAUUCAUUUUUCUGAGCAGUUGGGUUGAUCUUUCGGUCAAAUAGGACGUAAGUAAUGUUUCAAUUAAGGUUUCCCGUGUUGUUCUUCUUCUCCGCCUCUCAUGUUGCUUAAGCCUUCUCAAUCGAUCUCUCAUCUUCUUCCUCAGAGGCCGAAACGACACCAAUCUGUGUCUUUUUGUAUGGUUUUCUACUUACCGGCGAAAGAGAUCUGGAAACGUUACGAUGAUCGGUUGAGUCCAAGUGUCCUCUUUAACGCACACAUUAGCAACAACUCUUCACUCCUUUGACGAUUUGUGUUUCAAUGUACCUCUCAUCACUGCCAUAGUGUGAAUCCUCAACUAUAAAUAGGUAAGCCCAUUCCCUGGAAAUACAAAUGUUCUGGUUUGGAAUCAAAGCGCAAAACACACAUUUUGUUAAUAAUAUCUUGAGUUGUAUGCGCCUGUUGUGUUGUCGAGAUGAAGAAAUCCAUCUUCGAUUUCGUGAAUUUCUUGAACUGAUUUUUUUUUUUCUGAUUGCUCAUGCUAAAAUAUUGCUCCUUGAUUCAUUUUUACAUUGAAUAUGAGGAGCAUGAGAGUGUCUGAGAGCGAUAGAUUGUGAGAGAAGAGAGAACGACUGGUGCUAAUGAUGUCGGAGCUUCCUCGCUUUUGGAUUAUGUUUGGUGGAGACAGUGCUGGUGGAGAAGUUCAAGAAAGGUAUCCCGUCAUCUCUGUUUCUUCUUAUGCGCCUUAUUGGAUCUGGUCCACCUGAUUUGAGAUUAGCGUUUAGUCAAAGAUCUAUUAGGCUUCUUGAAUUGCAAGGUACAGUUUUAGUUUUGUGAGUUACUGUAGGUUUCAUUAUUUUUAAGUGGUUUUUGUGUGGAUGUUUAUGCUAUGUGAUUACCUAGCUAGGUGAGGACGAGCCAGAUGUUUGUAUUUGAAAGAUUCAUGAGUUUUUAUUUCUGAUGCUUCCAAGAUUGCAUAAGAGGUUCCAUUGUAAUAACAUUAUCUCAGAUAUUUAUGUUGAAUUGAACUUCUUAAA